GCGGAUGUGGCGGAAUUGGUAGACGCACCAGACUUAGGAUCUGGUGCCGCAAGGCGUGGGGGUUCGAGUCCCUUCAUCCGCA
rnacentral:tRNA from 1 species